AGGGCUUUCAUUUAAAAUCAAAUAUUUAGCUAUGAAACAUAAUUUAAUAUGAAAAAAAGAGAAAAUAAGAUUUUUGUAUUUCUACAUGACAUUUUAACUAUCAAUGUCAUUAUACAGUUUGCUUUUACUGCAAUAAAAUACACAUUUAUAUUUAACAAAGUCUCACGUGUAAAACAGUAUCCCCUACGUACAGGUUUUAUGGUGUUUUGGGACGUUACAGGGUCAAAUAUAGCACGUUACAAUUGAAAUUCGCCAGAUUGGUUACGUUGCCUUUGAGACUGUAUAGUAGCCCAGGAAUGAAAUUUACACCCAUAAUGGUAUACCAUUUGCAAUAGUAGACAACCCAAGGUAUUGCAAAUGGGGUAUGUCCAGUCUUUUUUAGUAGCCACUUGGUCACAAACACUGGCCAAAGUUAGCAUUAGUAUUUGUGUGUGAAAAACCCAAAAAACUGAUUUUAAUUUAAAUUUUAUUUCCAGCCAGCAGGGGGACUGUCAUUACAGGCAGUCCCCCUGCUGGCAAUGCAGCAGCCAGCUAACCCGGCCAUGUGAUUGUGAGGUCCGCGCAAGGACCUCACUCUCACAUGGCAGGGGAAGAGGGGCCCGGAUCCGCUGUGCGGGACUCCCUGGGAUCCCAGGUGAGUCUCCCCAACCGGGUAAGUAAAAAAACAAAACAAAACCGGAGGGUGUACUAUUACGCCCUGCGGCAUUUAGAGCCGCUUAGAAUAGGGAGUAAUAGUACGCCCUCUGGUUAAGGGGUUAAUAUAGGACAGAUCUUUAAGAGUACUUGUGCACGAGAUUGUAGAUCUAUGUACUAUCAAGCCUUUCAUGCAGGAAAAGCAUACCUGUCCAGUUUCUUUAGGUACACCCACACAUGUUUA